rnacentral:rRNA from 1 species
UUGUCCUACGGGACGCAGCAGUGGGGAAUAUUGGGCAAUGGAGGAAACUCUGACCCAGCAACGCCGCGUGAAGGAUGAAGGUUUUCGGAUUGUAAACUUCUGUCGCGAGGGAUGAAGAAUGACGGUACCUCGUAAGAAAGCCCCGGCAAACUACGUGCCAGCAGCCGCGGUAAUACGUAGGGGGCAAGCGUUAUCCGGAUUUACUGGGUGUAAAGGGAGCGUAGACGGUGAGACAAGUCUGAAGUGAAAGCCCGGGGCUCAACCCCGGGACUGCUUUGGAAACUGCCUGACUGGAGGGCGGGAGG